rnacentral:rRNA from 1 species
CACGUAGGCGGCCUGGUAAAGUACAGAUGUGAAAGCCCGGGGCUUAAACCCCGGAAGUUGCAUUUGAUACUGUCAGGCUUGAGUAUGGGAGAGGGAAGUGGAAUUCCUUGGUGUAGAGGUGAAAUUCGUAGAUAUCAGGAGGAACACCGGUGGCGAAGGCGACUUCCUGGACCAAUACUGACGCUGAGGUGCGAAGGCGUGGGUAGCAAACA